UACAGAGGGUGCAAGCGUUGUUCGGAAUUAUUGGGCGUAAAGGGCAGGUAGGUGGUCUAAUAAGUCUGCUGUGAAAUCCCCGGGCUUAACCCGGGAAGUGCGGCGGAAACUGAUAGACUAGAGUGCUGGAGGGGUGCGUGGAAUUCUUGGUGUAGCGGUGAAAUGCGUAGAUAUCAAGAGGAACACCAGAGGCGAAGGCGGCGCACUGGACAGUAACUGACACUCAACUGCGAAAGCGUGGGGAGCAAAC
rnacentral:rRNA from 1 species